CCUACGGGAGGCAACAGUGGGGGAUAUUGCACAAUGGGGGAAACCCUGAUGCAGCGACGCCGCGUGGGAGAAGAAGUAAUUCGGUAUGUAAAGCCCUAUCAGCAGGGAAGAAGAAAUGACGGUGCCUGAGUAAGAAGCACCGGCUAAAUACGUGCCAGCAGCCGAGGUAAUACGUAGGGUGCAAGCGAUAUCCGGAUUUACUGGGUGUAAAGGGAGGGCAGGCGGCACGGCAAGCCUGAUGGGAAAGUCCGCGGCCCCACCGCCGGACUGCAUUGGAAACUGCCGGGCUGGUGUGCCGGAGAGGUAGGCGGAAUUCGUGGUGUAGCGGUGAAAUGCGUAGAUAUUAGGAGGAACGCCAGUGGCGAAGGCAGCCUACUGGACGGUGACUGACGCUGAGGCUCGAAAGCGUGGGGAGCGAACAGGAUUAGAUACCCCAGUAGUC
rnacentral:rRNA from 1 species